UCCUCAACGGUCCCUUUACCUCAAACGGCUACUUCUCUCUCUAAAAUAACAACUUUCUAAUUUCAAACCCUUCCGAUCUCAACACACUCCUAAAGGAAACCCAUUCUCCUCUCAGGAAGACAACAGCCUUAUCGUUGCCGACGCAAUUCGCUCGCUAAGAACCCGAAAUUCAAGAGGCGCACACCAAGCUGGACCUGAUUAUUUUUAGGGGAGGGCGGCGUAAUUAAGGUACAGUUGCUAUAAUAUGUCUAAUCCUCAAACUGAUACACUUCUGCAAGUGGAGACGACUUGUGGAUCCCUUCUAUAUGAACUUCAGAUUAUUUGGGAUGAAGUUGGUGAGUCAGACACUGAUAGGGAUAAAUUGCUGCUUGAGAUUGAACAAGAAUGUCUAGAAGUUUACAGGAGAAAGGUAGAUCUUGCAAACCGGUCUAGAGCUCAGCUACGCCAGGCAAUAGCUGAUUCCGAAGCAGAAUUAGCAGCCAUCUGUUCUACUAUGGGCGAGCGACCUGUACAUAUUAGGCAGUCUGAUAAAAAUGCUGGAAGCUUGAAGGAAGAGCUCAGAAGAACUCUUCCACAAUUGGAGGAGAUGCGGAAAAGGAAAUCUGACAGAAGAAAUCAAUUCCUAGAAGUUCAAGAGCAGAUACAGGACAUCUCAAGGGAGAUCUAUGGAACCACGGAGUAUAUUUCAUCCAAGAAGGUAGCGGAUGAAAGUGAUUUGUCUUUGAGAAAACUUGAAGAAUUACACAGAGAGUUGCAUGAACUUCAGAAGGAGAAGAGUGAUCGCCUGAGGCAGGUUCAGGAACAUGUAUCUACUGUGAACUCGCUAUGCUCAGUGCUUGGUGUGGAUUCCAAGAAAAUAGUAACUGAAGUUCAUCCAAGUUUAGGUGAUUCUGUGGGGUCCAAGAAUAUAAGUAAUAAUACAAUCGACCAGUUGGCUGCUGCAAUACGAAAGUUGCGAGAGGUUAAACUACAGAGAAUGCAGAGGCUCCAAGAUCUUGCAAGUACCAUGUUGGAGCUCUGGAAUUUGAUGGAUACACCAAUCGAAGAACAACAGAUGUUUCAGACUGUUACCUGUAAUAUAGCUGCUUCAGAACAUGAAAUAACUGAACCAAACACUCUCUCUGUGGACUUCAUAAAUUAUGUUGAGGCAGAAGUAUCUCGGUUGGAAGAGUUAAAGUCAAGCAAAAUGAAAGAGCUUGUUCUGAAGAAGAGGUCUGAACUAGAGGAGUUCUGUAGAAAGACACAUAUGGUUCCAGAAGUAGAUAGCACAAUGGAUGAUGCCAUUGAAGCAAUAGAGUCAGGAGUUGUAGACCCUGCUUGUGUCCUUGAGCAAAUUGAGCUUCAGAUUGCUAAGGUGAAAGAGGAAGCUUUUAGCAGGAAAGAAAUACUUGAAAAGAUUGAGAAAUGGUUGGCUGCAUGUGAUGAGGAGAGUUGGCUUGAAGAGUACAAUAGGGAUGAGAAUCGAUACAAUGCUGGAAGAGGUGCUCAUCUUACUCUUAAGCGUGCCGAGAAAGCUCGCUCUUUGGUUAAUAAGCUUCCAGCAAUGGUUGAUGCAUUGGCUUCGAAAACCAUCGCAUGGGAGAAGGAGAGAGGCUUUGAGUUUACAUAUGAUGGUAUCCGUCUCUUAUCUAUGCUUGAAGAGUAUACUUUACUACGGCAAGAGAAAGAGCAAGAACGCCGCAGGCAACGGGACCAGAAGAAACUCCAAGAACAGCUGAUUGCAGAACAAGAGGUACUUUAUGGGUCAAAACCCAGCCCUUUGAAGACUCAGAGUGUAAAAAAAGCUCCUAGAAUGUCAACUGGAGGUGCAAGCAACAGAAGAGUUUCAGUUGGAGGAACAAUGAUCCACACUCCCAAACCUGAUCUGCUUCAAUCUGUGAAAGCAAGUCCUCACUCACGUCCCAUCAGGAAGAGUGAUCGGGUGCACCUAAAUGAUCAACUGAAUCCUCAAGAUGAUGGCUCUUCCGUUUUAUCAGCUGGCUCGGACAUCGCUGAGUUGUAGAAGAACUCUUGAUGGCUAUCGGGGGUAAGGGCGAAAAUGAAUUAAGUGGAUGAUUUAGGCUUAUCCUUUGUUUGGUCUUGAGGGAAGAAGUCAGGGCCACAUUAGUGGUAGAUUGUUCUGGUAGGAGAGGCUUGGAUAUUGCUGGUCUCCCUGUAAAAAAACACUCAUUUGGUAAUGGAAACGUCCGUGAAGGAGAGUCACCCGUGAUGCGAAUACCAUUCUCACCCAUCUCUUCCACAGCAUCAUCAAAGGCCAACAUGACAAACUUUUCGGAUGAGCUGAAUGCAAGACAUAGUGAGACAUUGAAGAAUACGCUGCCAACUAACAACAUGCAAUUUACUAGUCCCUCCAAGACAGCUUCUAUGGCAACCGAAGAGAAUAAAACGCCAAAGGCACUGCCAAUUUUUGUCCCUACAACACCUUCAACAGUGUCAGUUCCAAUGCAGACAGCUACAACUCCAGCUCCUCAACCAGUCCCUUUUGGCAUUCACGCAGUUGAAGAGAUUCUUCAAGAGAUUGAAUAUUCAUUCGAGGAAAUGAGAGCUGGUUUUGUGCUUUCCAAAACACAUAUAAAGCCCAUGAUACAAGUAUGAUAAGCUUUAGGUGGACCUGAAUUGAUUUGUUUUAGCUUGCUUUUAAUCCGAUCAACAGUGUCAGACCAUGAAUUUUUGUUUUAUGGUGUUUGUGAUGGCAAAGUCAAUUGUAAUUGGCUUUACUGACUUGUGUACAUUGCCUACGAAUACUGAAUGUGAACUAGGAUGUUGAGCUUGUCCUUCCUGGUGUGAUCUCUCAAUGUUAAAUGUGCCUAAAGUUUCCAUGUUUUUUUCUGGGGACCGGCUUGUCUGUUCAGGUGGAGUGUGAUCUUGUGUGAGAACACUUUUGAAGGAUUACAUCAUUUGGGGACUUGUUCCUGUUGUGGUUUGUCCAGAAUUGACUUCCUGAUUUUUUAUUGUGUC